rnacentral:misc_RNA from 1 species
UGAAAGUUUGAUAUCUGUGCAAUUCAAUUGCAGGCAGCAAGAACAAUUGACAAUUCAAGGUUGAGUCGUUGAGUCAUGGAGGAUCUGCUCCAAUUAGUUUUGCUUGCUCUCAGGUAUUGCUUCUUGCUCUAAGCUGUCCAAUAAUACAAGUUUGCCAAUGCCCUUCUGUUACAGUGUUUCUAAGUUCAUAGCAGAUUAUUGCAUGUGAUUAAAUCAAGUUUAGUAUCAAAUCUGAGUUUACGUUUUGCUUAAUCCAAUCUUCUUUAUAAGGAUUGAUUACCGACAUAAAUUUGAUGUAAAAUGGAUCAUCUACUCUGGUUGUAAAAGAGGGUAGUCAUUUUCAUAAUUCUCACAAAAUUUCUCCAAUUCAAAGAUAAAUUACAUUGAGAAAACCUCGUAAUCACACUCAUACAUGAUUUUUUUUUUCUUUUUGGAAAGACAAAGAAUGUUUGACUAUAAUAACAGCAUAUAUGUUAUUUGUUACAUACAAUAUCUCACCAUUAUAUGACUGCGGGCCUCAACUCAAAAACACAUCAGAAAAUUUCAGGUAGAUGUUGGCCUUUCAGAAAUGACUUGAAUAACACCAGUGAUCUCUCUGGCUGCGAGUAUGGAACCUCAUGAGAAGCGCCUCUGAUUGUAGCAAAUGACAGGAUGUUGCCAUAAACUUGAGUCCAUCCACCAACCUAAAAGGCAGAAUGGAAUCAAUAUCUGAUAUGAUUUCUCACUAAACAUGCUUGACUAUCUGUGUCUUAUGAGAUAUUCUAUUACCUGUUUUUCUGCAAACCAGGCUUUAUAAGGCGCAGUUGUGUUUAGUCCCAAGUCCUUCGCCAGUCUAUGAACAAGGGUGCGGCUACCAGUCAAUGGAAUAACAGAAUCUUGAUCUCCACUGUAUGAUUUAUGUUAUUAGAAUAUAUAACACCUCAAUAAUCUUAUUAAGGACUGGUUUAAGUUUUGAGUUUACCUGUAAACCAAAACUGGAAUUCCAGCCUUGAUAAGUGAUCCAACAAUAGAGAUUGUGGGUAUCUCUAGGUUGAGCAGCUCAUAAUCCAGAAUGCUAUGAUAAAAAAAAAAAAGCUUAUUUUUUCAAGAAACUUUACUUUUCAUAACUAAUUAAAGCACCAGAUGGCAAUGCAAAAUUCAGUUUUGAAAAUUUCAGGAAAACUUUACAGACUCAGCUAAAAUGAGUUUCCUUUUUAGAAUAUUUUCUGCCGUUAUUCUUUUGUUACGUUAGUUGUAACUUGGUGAAAAUUAGGCGAAUAGCAUUGCACAACUUUAGUGAUGCACUAUUAAAAGCAGGUGUAUCAUUAUUUAUUACGGUUGUUAUUUUAUAUUGGAUCAAAUUGGUUGGUUUUCGUUAAGCGCCAAUAGGGCCAUAUGCCAGUUAAUUAUUGAGGUUGCUGGAUGAAGGAAGUAACAAUUUGUAAUUAAUAUAUCAUUAUGACUGAUUCUUUUUGGUCUUUUUGUGCUUUUAUAUCUUAGCAAGGCAUAAGAGAAAUUACUUGCUACAAACUUCCCAUUUGCGAACCCCAACAAGCCGGGCAUGGAAAGCCUUCUGCACAUCCUUUCGAUUCAGGUAGUUCAUGGUUUCAUCAUCCACGCAUACAUCUAUCCUCUCUGAUACUUGCUGCGAAAGAAGAAUUAUAAGCAAAAAAUUGGAGUUAAAAAAAACGUAUGGACAAGAAAGUUGGAAGGCGAUUGGUUUUGCAGGGAGGACUUACUUGUGGUCUCAAAACCUUUGAUUGUGAGAGAACUGAUGGAAUACAAACAUCAAGGGUAACAUCAUAUUUGUCCACAAACCUACUGGUUUCUCUAUUAACUAGGCUCAUAACGUGCGAACAAAUAGUUGAAACUGAGUCUCUGUAGUAUUCACUUACGUAUCUUGAAUAGUUACAAGCAGAAGUGAACAUUUUGUAUGUUGCGUCUGAUAUCAGCCCAUGAGACCAUAAGUACUCAGCUCUUGAAUUGAAGUCUGUAGCAAAUUCUAGAACAGGGUUGCCCAAUGCAAUGCCUUUCAAGUGGAAUAACUUUUCCUUUUUGUUGAUUUCAAUCAUAAGCUUUGCAAGUUGAGGAAUAUAGUGGCCUGCAUAACUCUCCCCUGCUAUAAACAAGUCCCUAUGCCUAUACUGAGGGAACUUGUUGAACCAGCGUUGCAGGAAUACAGCAUUGUCCCUGGCUGUUGCCUCAUCAUCCACUGCCACAUAGGAGGAGCUAUCAGUGGCAUAAGAGAACCCCACUCCAACUGGUGUCUCCAAAUAUAACAUAUUUGCUUCUCUGUUCCAGCUAUACUCAUUUCUCACCAAAACCUUCCCAUUUGGUCUAAAAGGUCCAUUUUCAGAGAAAGCCCCUACUCCCAGAGAAGAACAGCCAGGCCCUCCAUUCAACCAGAGAACCAAGGGCUUGGAAGCUGGAUCUAUUUCUGCUUCAACAAAGUAAUAGA